rnacentral:misc_RNA from 1 species
CCCCCACCCCCCCUUCCGCGAGACCGAGAGAGAGAGAGGGAAGGAAGGAGAGAAAAAGGGGGGGGGCAGCCCAGCCCCCGCGUCGUCCGAAGCCGAAGCUGCGCAGCGGUCCCGGCUCCUUGCCCGCGGCGUCGCGGGAAGGGCCGGCCGCCGGGGUCGGCCGUCGCCGCGGGGCGUCCCGCCUCUCCCCCCGCCGCGCGGCGGGCGGAGGCGGGUUAGCCCCGCGCCUGCGCGGUGCCGUUCCCCGCCCCAGGCGCCGCCGGGCCGCCACGUCGCCGGCCGCCGCCGCCGCCGCCGGCACGCCCGUCGCCGCCACGCCGCCGCCGCCGGCACGCCCGUGAUGCCGCUCCCGCGGGUCGGAGCGGUGAAAGGAGCCGGGGGCGGUCAGGGGUUGGCGGGGGCGGUCCCGCCGGCGGCGGGUCCGGGCGUCCGCGCGCUGGCGCGCCUUGCCGCGGCGCCGCCGUGGGUGGCGGC